UACGAAGGGGGCUAGCGUUGCUCGGAAUCACUGGGCGUAAAGCGCACGUAGGCGGGUCUUUAAGUCAGGGGUGAAAUCCCGGAGCUCAACUCCAGAACUGCCUUUGAUACUGAAGAUCUUGAGUCCGGGAGAGGUGAGUGGAACUGCGAGUGUAGAGGUGAAAUUCGUAGAUAUUCGCAAGAACACCAGUGGCGAAGGCGGCUCACUGGCCCGGUACUGACGCUGAGGCACGAAAGCGUGGGGAGCAAACAGG
rnacentral:rRNA from 1 species